rnacentral:rRNA from 1 species
AUUGAACGCUGGCGGCAGGCUUAACACAUGCAAGUCGAACGAGUGGCGGACGGGUGCGUAAUGCUUGGGAAUCUAGCUUAUGGAGGGGGAUAACUACGGGAAACUGUAGCUAAUACCGCGUACCAUAGGAUGAGCCCAAGUGGGAUUAGGUAGUUGGUGAGGUAAAGGCUCACCAAGCCGACGAUCUCUAGCUGGUCUGAGAGGCUUACCAGCAACGCUGGGACUUAGACACGGCCCAGACACCUGCGGGAGGCAGCAGUGGGGAAUAUGACGCAAUGGGGGCAACCUGACGCAGCCAUGGCGCGUGAAUGAAGAAGGCCUUCGGGUUGUAAAGGUCUUUCGGUAGCGAGGCGUUAACUACAGAAGAAGCACCGGCUAACUCCGUGCCAGCAGCCGCGGUAAUUC